GAUGAACGCUGGCUACAGGCUUAAUACAUGCAAGUCGAGGGGAAACGACGGGGAAGUUUGCUUCCCCGGGCGUCGACCGGCGCACGGGUGACUAACGCGUAACCAACCUGCCACUGACUGAGGGAUAACCCGUCGAAAGUCGGCCUCAUACCAAUUGGCAUCACCUCCGGGCAUCCAACGACGAUUAAAGAUUUCAUCCGCCUGGGAUGGGGUGGCGUCUGCUUAGUGUGUUGGCGGGGUAACGGCCCUCCAAGGCUACGAUCAGUAGGGGUUCUGAGAGGAAGGUCCCCCGCAUUGGAACUGAGACACAGUCCAAACGCCUACGGGAGGCAGCAGUGAGGAACACUGGUCAAGGGACGGGGGCGUGAACCAGCCGAGUAGGGUGCAGGAGGACGGGCAUAUGAGUAGUAAACUGCUUUUGUGCAAGGAUAAAGUGAGGGACGUGUCCUUUAUUGCAGGUACCGAAUGAGUAAGGACCGGCUAAUUCCGUG
rnacentral:rRNA from 1 species